CAGCCGCCGCGGGAAUACGUAGGGUGCGAGCGUUGUCCGGAAUUACUGGGCGUAAAGGGCUCGUAGGUGGUUUGUCGCGUCGUCUGUGAAAUUCUGGGGCUUAACUCCGGGCGUGCAGGCGAUACGGGCAUAACUUGAGUGCUGUAGGGGUAACUGGAACUCCUGGUGUAGCGGUGAAAUGCGCAGAUAUCAGGAGGAACACCGAUGGCGAAGGCAGGUUACUGGGCAGUUACUGACGCUGAGGAGCGAAAGCAUGGGUAGCGAACAGGAUUAGAUACCCCAGUAGUCCCUGUCUCUUAUU
rnacentral:rRNA from 1 species